ACUUUUUCUCUCUCUACCUCUCCUUCUGCCUCUAGCCCCUCACUUCACAUCUGUCUAUUAACCCCAAUCAAAGAAUGUAAUGUAUGUAUGAUUUUACUGUUGUAGCCAAUAUGAUCAUUGUAAUUAUAGUCUGUAACAUUUCACCUAAUUGUUAUCAAUAAGAAUGAAGUUUAAGCCAUUUUAACAUUUCACCUGAUUGUAUAAACGAGUACGAAUGUUUGCUGUUCUAACUUGUCAGAAUUGGAUUUAUAUACGACCUGAAGUACACACACAUAUAUUUGACCCCUCAAAACAAACACCGCCAAAUGCUUAAAGCAAUUAUUCUGUAAUAAUAUUGUUAUGAUGUAUAUUCUUUGCACUUUGCGAGUAUGUCUUCACUUCUGUUAUACGAACUUUGCACCCAGCUGAUUCCAGACGCCAUAUUUGUUUACAAAUGUGGCAGUAUACAUGUGAUGUGUUACGACAGCAAAAGGAACCUGUGAUCACUGAAGUGUCAUGGACCAGCAGGAACUUCCUUUUGGCCUCAAAAAGAAGAAAGAUGUCCUGUUCCACUCACCCAUCUUCUAUGUGUAAUAACUCCUCCAGAGGUAGCAUCUCAGUUCAGCACAUCAUAUAAGAUUGAUGCUAAUUCCCAAAAGGAAACCAUCAAAACAUGGAACAAUUUCAAUUCUUUAUUGUAAAAAAACCUUAAUGGACAUUUAAGUGUAGUUAGUGUACAUACAGCUUCAUGUAAACUUAGUAUAAUACUUCAACUGAAUAAUUAUUAAAGUUAUCGAAACCUCUUUUUACAAAGGAUUUGUUUGAAAACGAGUAAUUGCCAAUUCAUGUAUUCAAAUGUAAGUAAACCUAUUUUGUAAAAUUCUCAAUGCUUGUGUCUUUUAUUUUAAAAUAAUUGAUACAUAAAACUUGAGUUCAUCUGGUAUUUUCACAGUUGUAUUGACUCCAAAUAUUUGAUUAUUGUACCAAACAUGUAUUUUACAAAGUAAAUUACAAAAUUUGAUUUCAAUUUGGUAUAUAAUUGUUACAACUAAGAACCCCACCAAUUUUUUGCACCAAUUUGAAAUGUAAUUUUAUGCUGUUUUCAUAAAUAUAUGGUUGUAUUGGGUUAUUUGGAGAGAGAUUUUAGCUUUUCAUAAUUUUCUACGUCAACAUCACAGUUUUGAAAUUAACAGUUUAGUACAGUUUUUCAAUAUGAAUGAACAUUAUAAAUUGUAUUUUGUAGAUACAUCAGUUUCAAUGUUUAAUUUAGAACAAACCAGUGAAAAUUUCAAGGCUCUAGCUUCAAAACUAAUGAUUUUGCUUUAAAUUCUGUAAAAGCGUGCACACUUUAGUUUCAUCUUAAUCACCCUCAGAAAUACAAUUAGCCUAAAACUUUAAAUAGUGAUAACUCAGAAACUACUUGUCAGAAUUGGAUGAAACUUGGAAUAUUUUCUUGUCUUUAUGCAUACAAUUCAAAUAUAAAUUUUCAUAAACAUCUGUGACAAGUGGGUGCAGGGCCCUGCAUGACUUGGUAUGGAAUGGCCCUUUAGCUGUAUUCCAGUGUUUGCUGUGUUUGUUAUUAGAAGUGCAUUAACUAUUGUCACUGAUACAACAGAUUCUGUUUUGUAUUAUAUUAGUCAUUCAGCUAUAAAUAAAUUAUUAUGAAAAUA